rnacentral:lncRNA from 1 species
GGAAAGCUGUGUCUGGAAGGGCAUUUCCAGAAAGUAUUGCCUGUCCCAGGGUCUACCAUUGCACACUGAAUAUAGGGGGCAGGGGUGGUGAGGACUGUGGUCCCCUUUCACUAUUUCCUGGUUGGUAUCACGAAUCAAACUGCUUGUGUUGCCAUGACCUCCCCGUUAUUAUAGAUGCAUUUCUCUGAAAAAAAUAUACCCUUUAUCCUUUGGUUUCAUCUGUGUAUUUGGUCACAGUGAUAAGAACAAUAGUUAAAGCACUGUCCACCAUGAUGAGAAGAGGGCAACAUUAUAAAAACGACAAGGGUACUGUUGUAAACACACCAAGCUCACCUUAACAGCCUUUGCUCUCCCUCCCUUGCUCCCUCCCUCUCUUCUAAAACAGGAUAUCAUAUAUCCCAGGCUGGCCCCAAACUUGCUAUGUAGUUCAGGCUGGCCUCCAACUCCUGAUCCUUCUGCCUGCACUUCCCCAAGUGCUUGGAUUUCUGGCACGUGAUACUUGAUAUUUUGAAAUAGAGACUUUAAAUUUUUAGGCAUUUUUAUAUAUGUGCACAGAGUAUUAUGCUGGUAUUCAACCCAAAUUACUCUGUGGUAUCCUCUUUGUUUCCCCAUGAAGCCUUCUUUCCACUUAGUCCCCAGUGGUUACAUUAUUAGAAAAUGACACAACCCCUCUACUGUUAUUAGUCAGUCAUUAACUAUUUUUCCCACAAGGAAAAUAGUUCAUGAAGGUCCACCCCACUCUUCAGCCCUGCCAUCUUGCCUUUAGAAGAAAUGCAGAGAUUGUGACUUGUCAGAACUCACAAGGAUCCAUCUCUUGGCACAUCACCUAGUUAUCUUUCCAUUGGCCCCCUGAGGAGCCUUCAUUCUGAAGGGUGAGAGAGAAGAGCUAGUGGAUCCAUCAUCCUCUCCUGCACACAGAACUUUCUCUGAACUGUAGGGGUUUAAAGCAGGGCAGGAAUGAAUGGCCUUUCCUCUGUACCCAGAGGGCUUGGGAAAGUGUGGCUCCCUGGAGAGGACCUGAUUUCCAUCCAUGCCAAUAACUGCGGAAGGAGAAACCAGUGAGUGCUUAAGGACUGAAUUUAUGAGGAAGCUGAGUCUCCCUGAGCUAGACUGAUGGAUGCCUGGGGGAGAAUGUGGCACACACUUGUGGAUUGUUUGUCCUUGUGUCACCUGGCCUUUCUUUGUUAGGAAGGAUUGUCUCCUAGCUGUCGCAUCCCUUCAGGCUACACUUGCUUCUCAUUAAGGAAAAGUACCCUGUGCCCCUAGUGUGGAGCCUAAAGCUAAGGGUCCCCCCAGCUGCUCAUCCAUCUUCCUCCAUGGACAUGAAGACACUGGAGAGGGGAAGGAAAACUGUUGGUUGCGUUCAAGCCUUUGUUUUUGGUGUGCAGAUAGAGCUGACUGAGCAAACAAAUGCUCAAGUCACUAGAUUUGCAUUGAAGUCAACAGAGCCUUGAUUCUCUCCCCCAAACAGAAUUCUUGGGGGUGUUUACUGAGAUCUCCUAAAAAUCAAGUUCUCAGAGGAGGCGUGGCUAUUUGGCCAAAGCAAUAUCACUAAAGCCCAGGAAAAUCCCCUUUCCGUGGGGAUAAAAAGACAACAGAAAGGUCAGUGCUGUGUUGCUUGGGUGUUGAGAUUCCUUCCUCCUUCCACAUUCAAUCCCCAGGAUAAACAUCACAGUGACAAGAACAGGACUGUUCUUGACUGAGAUUGGAGACCUGUGCUCAGUCCCAGAGGGUCCUAGAAUGAGAACCAGCUCUAGCCUGCUUGUUUUCUACCAGUGUGGGACAGGCAUCUAAAGCUGACCUAUCCAGAGAGAUGGCAGGGCAGAGCAGUUAAGAACAAUGUAGAGUCAGCUUCUUUCUUUGGUGCCACUUAGCUGUGUGUCCUUAGGAGGGGGCCUGUGCUUCUCUGAGAUUUCCAUUUCCUAAUUCAUACAUAGUAGCCAAGUGUGCCUGUUCCAUAGGGCUGUUCCGGGAGGAAAUCGGUGUAUGUAAUGUGUGGUGCAGGUAGAGAAUGUUGAGAGUUCUUGACUGGUCCUAUAGAGGUAGGAGAUGUUUGUCAAGCAUCUGCUAUGUGCAGACAUGGGACCAGACAGCAAAGGCUUUCAUGACAUCUGCUUUCUGUACCACAGAAGUGAACCCACUUCAGUUAGGACAGGUCAGUGCUCAAGUGUUUGCUUUAGGAACUUGGUGGUCCUGAGGGAAGAGACUUAACUCAAGAGAGUAGCAUGCAUGUGACCACCAAGCUUUAGAGACGCCUGUGGCCCAUUAGUGCACCAGCAGAAAGUGAUGUGUCUGCUAUGUCGGAACUGGAGGGAUCCCCGCGUGAGUAUGUAUACGUGUAUGUACACACGUGUCCUGUACAAACUGGACAUAUAUGGACAGAAUGAUGGCCAGUAUCACAGAGAAGAAGCCAGCCAUUGCCAGCCUAUUGUCACUUGGGUUUUGUGGGUUAAAUGAGAUUAUUUAAGCCAAGUACUCAAAACUUAAGAGAAUCUUUUCGCAUCCACUAAGAUGACUACCAUUUAAAAACCAAAACCAGCCAGGUGGUGGUGGUGCAUGCCUUUAAGCCUUGCACUCAGGAGAGAUCUCCGAGUUUGAAGCCAGCCUUGUCUACUAAGUGAGUUCCAGGACAGCCAGGGAUACCCAGAGAAGUCCUGUCUCAAAAAAAAAAAUCAAAAUUAAUUAAUGAGUAAGCAAAUUAAUAAUUAAUUCAAAUAAAUAAACCUC